CUGGAGAGGAGAAGAUAGGACCAGAGGAGAGGAGAAGAGAGGGCUGGAGAGGGGAAGAUAGGACCAGAGGAGAGGAGAAGAGAGUGCUGGAGAGGAGAAGAUGGGACCAGAGGAGAGGAUAAAAGAGGGCUGGAGAGGAGAAGAUAGGACCAGAGGAGAGGAGAAGAGAGGGCUGGAGAGGAGAAGAUAGGACGAGAGGAGAAGAGAGGGCUGGAGAGGAGAAGAUAGGACCAGACGAGAGGAGAAGAAAGGGCUGGAGAGGAGAAGAUAGGACCAGAGGAGAGGUGAAGAGAGGGCUGGAGAGGGGAAGAUAGGACCAGAGGAGAGGAGAAGAGAGGGCUGGAGAGGAGAAGAUGGGACCAGAGGAGAGGAUAAAAGAGGGCUGGAGAGGAGAAGAUAGGACCAGAGGAGAGGAGAAGAGAGGGCUGGAGAGGAGAAGAUAGGACGAGAGGAGAAGAGAGGGCUGGAGAGGAGAAGAUAGGACCAGACGAGAGGAGAAGAGAGGCCUGGAGAGGAGAAGAUAGGACCAGAGGAGAGGAGAAGAGAGGGCUGGAGAGGAGAAGAUAGGAGGAGAGAGGGCUGGAGAGGAGAAGAUGGGACCAGAGGAGAGGAGAAGAGAGGGCCGGAGAGGAGAAGAUAGGGCCAGAGGAGAGGAGAAGAUAGGAGGAGAGAGGGCUGGAGAGGAGAAGAUAGGACCAGAGGAGAGGAGAAGAGGGGGCUGGAGAGGAGAAGAUAGGAGGAGAGGAGAGGAGAAGAGAGGGCUGG
ensembl:lncRNA